rnacentral:tRNA from 2 species
GGCCCUGUAGCUCAAUUGGUUAGCAGCAGUCCCCUCAUAAGGGAAAGGUUACCAGUUCAAAUCUGGUCCGGGUCACCA